UUACGUCCAUACGAUGUUGAAACACCUGUUCCCGUAGGAUUACCGAAGUUCAGUAAAGUCGACCUUAGUCAAUACUAAGAUGGGUGAUCUCUUGAGAAUACCAGGUGCUGUAAG